GAUGAAGAACGUAGCGAAAUGCGAUACGUAGUGUGAAUUGCAGAAUUCAGUGAAUCAUCGAAUCUUUGAACGCACAUUGCACCUCUCGGUAUUCCGGGAGGUAUGCCUGUUCGAGCGUCAUUUGUACCCUCAAGCUCUGCUUGGUGUUAGGUGUUUGUUCCGCCUCUGUGUGUGAACUCGCCUCAAAACAAUUGGCAGCCGGCGUACUUGUUUCGGAGCGCAGCACAUUUUGCGAUCCAGAUCAACGUACAGCGGCAUCCAAGAAGCCUUAUUUAACGCUCUUGACCUCGGAUCAGGUAGGGAUACCCGCUGAACUUAAGCAUAUCAAUAACGGAGGA
rnacentral:misc_RNA from 1 species